UACGUAGGGUGCAAGCGUUAAUCGGAAUUACUGGGCGUAAAGCGUGCGCAGGCGGUUUUGUAAGUCAGAUGUGAAAUCCCCGGGCUUAACCUGGGAACUGCGUUUGAAACUACAAGGCUAGAGUGUGGCAGAGGGGGGUGGAAUUCCACGUGUAGCAGUGAAAUGCGUAGAGAUGUGGAGGAACACCGAUGGCGAAGGCAGCCCCCUGGGUUAACACUGACGCUCAGGCACGAAAGCUAGGGUAGCGAACGGG
rnacentral:rRNA from 1 species